rnacentral:rRNA from 1 species
CCUACGGGAGGCAGCAGUGGGGAAUAUUGCACAAUGGGGGAAACCCUGAUGCAGCGACGUCGCGUGAGUGAUGAAGUAUUUCGGUAUGUAAAGCUCUAUCAGCAGGGAAGAAAAUGACGGUACCUGACUAAGAAGCCCCGGCUAACUACGUGCCAGCAGCCGCGGUAAUACGUAGGGGGCAAGCGUUAUCCGGAUUUACUGGGUGUAAAGGGAGCGUAGACGGCGGUGCAAGCCAGAUGUGAAAGCCCGGGGCUCAACCCCGGGACUGCAGUUCGAACUGGGCUGCUAGAGUGUCGGCGAGGCAGGCGGAAUUCCUAGUGUAGCGGUGAAAUGCGUAGAUAUGAGGAGGAACACCAGUGGCGAAGGCGGCCUGCUGGACGAUGACUGACGUUGAGGCUCGAAAGCGUGGGGAGCAAACAGGAUUAGAUACCCGGGUAGUC